GACGAACGCUGGCGGCGUGCUUAACACAUGCAAGUCGAACGGUGAUGCUCCAGCUUGCUGGAGUGGAUCAGUGGCGAACGGGUGAGUAACACGUGAGCAACCUGCCCCAGACUCUGGAAUAAGCGCUGGAAACGGCGUCUAAUACUGGAUACGAAACUGGCCCGCAUGGGCAUGGUUUGGAAAGUUUGUCGGUUUGGGAUGGGCUCGCGGCCUAUCAGCUUGUUGGUGAGGUAAUGGCUCACCAAGGCGACGACGGGUAGCCGGCCUGAGAGGGCGACCGGCCACACUGGGACUGAGACACGGCCCAGACUCCUACGGGAGGCAGCAGUGGGGAAUAUUGCACAAUGGGCGAAAGCCUGAUGCAGCGACGCCGCGUGAGGGAUGACGGCCUUCGGGUUGUAAACCUCUUUCAGCAGGGAAGAAGCGAAAGUGACGGUACCUGCAGAAGAAGCACCGGCUAACUACGUU
rnacentral:rRNA from 1 species